GCUUUGUAAACAGAGAGGGAGAAGAAGAAAAAAAGAGCCAAAAGGAAAAAAUAAAUUCUGGAAUCAGACGAUACACUCAGUUAUUCAUUCAGCAACAUCGAGUGAGGCCUGCUGUGUGCCAAGAACAAUGGGGUACGAAAAAAAGAGUGAGUCGGUCUCCACUCACUUACGUAUUUAUCUACUCACUUCAUAAUAAGGCUAGAGCUCCCGCCAGGUUCCAGGCAUUGUGGUUGUGGCGAUGCCUGGGUGGCUUGGGCCCUGCCUGCUGGGGGACGGAGCCAGAGGCCCAGCAGCUGAAACCCAGCAGCUGAUGUGGUCGUGGUGAAGAUGACAGCGAGCCAAAGCAUGUGGAGUGCUGCGACGCCCCUGCCGGCAGUAGGUGCUGUGGAUUGUUGCUAUGAUUGGGGUGGGGGCGGACAGGAAGCCUGCAGAGGGGAGCAAUCCGUCACCUGUAGGAGCUCCGACUGUGGACAGGCGCCAGCAAACUGAGCAGAGGCGGAAAGACCGGGCUCCUGCCUGCGGGGAGCCAACAGCAUCCAGUUGUUGCUAAGAACUUGGAAUCCGAGAGACCUGGGUUCCAAUCUCAUCUCAUCUGUGUGACCUUGGACAAGUUAUUUGUCCUCGUUGAGCUCCACUGUUCUCAUCUAUAAAAUGGGCGUAAAGACAGCACAUUCGUUUCAGGGACGCGGGAGGCCUGACUGAGAUGAUCCUUGUAAAUAGCCGAGAAGACACAGCGCUGGAAAAGAGUGAAUGGACAGUGACGAGUUUGACCCCCUGGGUGUGGAGUCAGACCACCUGCGUUUGCACCUGCUGCCGACAGACCUGCUCCUCACCUCUCUGAAUCCCAGUGUUUUCGUCUGUCACGGGGAGCAGGACUCGUUCCCAGCUUGCAGGUUGGCUGUGCGCACUCAGGAGAUAACCUUGUGACGGGCUUGACACAGCACUUUGUACACACUGGGUGCUCCAGAGAUUCCAAGUGAGAUUGGUAUUUUCAGGUGACAAAACUAACUCCAACAAAAGUAAAAACUUUACGAGAGGAAUAAACAGUCAGCUCUUCUACUUUUAGUUCACUUAAAGUCUUAUCUCGAAGGAUUAUUUAACAGGCUUUCUUGCUUCUAGUCCUUAAUCACCUAUGGUAUUUCAGGAAACAGCUAAAUGGUCAGUAGCUAAGAGCUUUUUGAAUGAGAAUACUCAGUUCUUCUAUUUGGAGAAAGAUCUAAGACCUCGGCUUUCUCUUCAUCGGUGCACAACGCCUGUUCUUCUGCUUUCUUUAAGAGUCCACUCCCAUCCCUCAACACUUUGGGGAGGUCUUCAUAGGUGCUCAUCUGUGUCUCCACCAACCAUGUAUUGGUUUGGCUGCACAUUAAGGAAAACUGACCCGAGCAGUGGAAACAAGUGUAUUAACGAUUUAUUGCUGCAUGACAAACUGCCACACACGUAGUGGCUUAAAAGCACAUGCAUUUAUUGUUUCACAGUUUCCUUAGGUCAGGAGUCCAGGCAUGGCUGAGCCGUGUCUCUGCUCAGGGCCUCACAAAGCUGCAAUGAAGGUGUCGGCUGGGCUGCGUUCUCAUCUGGAGGCUCGGCUGGGGAGGAAUCUCCUUCCAGGUUCACUCAGGUUGUGGCAGAAUGUUUCCUUGCAGCUGUAGGACUAGGGACCCUGGCUUCUUGCUGACUGGAGGCCACCCUCAUCUCCUAAAGGCUGCCCCCCAGACCUUGGAAGCCCCCUUCCUGCAAUUUGCAGGGGCCACCUGCAGUUCCUUGCCAGGUGGACUUUUCCACCAGGGCCGCUCACUGUGUUAAGUCAGCGAGGACAGUCUCCAGAGCAAGUCUGCUGACAAGGUGAAGACUUACACAACGUAAUGCAAUCACAGGGCUGACAGCCCCUCAUCUUUGCCAUAUUCUGUUGGUUAGAACAAAGUCACAGGUCCCAUUCAUCUUCAAGGGGAAUGGCUCCCACAAAGACGUGCCCACCAGUAGAUGGGAGUCAUGGGGGCCACCACCAAGUCUGCCCACCACAACAAGGAGGGGGGUUGUUUUCUCAUGGUAGUAAGAAGCCCCAGUGCCGGGCAUAUAACAGCAUCUCAAUCAGUGUGGACUCCUGUCUCCUUCACCCCUUUUCCUGCCUUGCCUGCCUCUGGGUUGACCACUCUGAGCACGACAGCCUCCCGAGGGCCAGCACCCUGACCCGUGGGGGUGCUGCAAGUGGAGCUGGAGGAAAGUGGACGAGAGAGGAAGGGAAGAGCCUGGAGGAGCCCCGCCCGGGCACUGACAAUGGCAGCACCCUUGUUUGCUCUGGGAGGAGCAGCCUGGAAACUUUUUAUGAGAUUCCAGAAGCAGCAAGGUCAUCCAUUUUAUGGCCAUCCCACUUCGUUUGUAAAUCCAGCCUUUGAAUGAGAAUGUUUGGGCUCCUUGACAAGAGCAAGGGUGAUGCUGGCUCCUUUGGAAGAGGGGACAAUAAAAUAAAUAAAAGGUCUUCCAUUCCCCACGGCUGCAAGGCACUCCCUAUAACUUUAGACUCUCCAACAAAGAACAGCCCUGUGUCGGUGGACCUUCAGAGAGCAGAGUUGCAGGCUGCCCCCAGGCCGGGUGGGUGGCCCUGGGAUGUGCUUUGUCAGCUCGGGUGGAGCAGCGUGCAUUGGCUGUCGUGCCAAUGUCUGGGGAUGAGCUCCCGGUCGGCCUGUGUGCCAUGAUAAAGUCAAGGCAGGUGAGGAGAGCCCCGUCCUCACCAGCCUCUCUGUGUUCUUGUAUAUAAGAACCAGCUCCUUCAGGGACUCCUGGGCCUCUGUCUCUCAUUGCUCACCGGCCCGUGGCUGGCUUUUACUGCCAUUGACUAUUGACUCGGCUGGGCUCAGGAAACGGGCAGCCCCCGUUGUCUGGCCAGCUGCCAGGGCCAGCUCCAACUGCAGCUGGCCAUGGGGACAGGGCCACCCUCUCUUUGGGUUUCUUCUCUUUGGGCCACAAGGCACGAAGGCAGAGCAGCCUGCGUGUCUGCUUGUGGGGACUUGGGGAGAGCAUGGCGAGGGGAGGCAGAAAGUGGGAGAGAGGCGGGAAGACAUUUUUCAUAAAGGGACAAAAUUCUCCUUUAAAAGUACAAUUCCUGACACCGAACACACUUUUAAUAAAUAUUUGUUGAAUGAAGAAAUGAGUGAUUUUAUUCAUUUAACUAAUAUUUAUUGAAUGCCAGUUGCCUAAGGUCUGAUGACACAAUGCAAAACUUGAUAAGAUUCAUAUUCUGCCCGGGGACCCCUGGCAGCUCAGCGUCCGUCCCCAAGGCCAGCAAAUUGAAGCGGUGUUCCCUGAAGACAUGGGAAGGCUCUAGAGCAACGACUCCCCUGUUGAGGAAUUUAGGGGAUCCCCUCCAUGGAAUGGCAGGUCCCUGCCAGAUCUCCCUAAGAGGAAGCCUGCUGGUUGGUUCCAGACUCGCCAGGGUACACAGAGCUCCCCUGGUGAUUGCCUUCUUUGCAAACAUGGACAAUUAGGCUUCUCAAGACAGGUGAACAACAUUUGCAACAUAAAUGAAUGAAUGGUAUUUCCACUUACUAAAUUCCUGGCCUGUGAAAGUCUUGCUUUGGGACUGUCAGAGUUGGGGGCUCCUUGGGAGCCAGAGAGCUCAUUUGCCUGUGAGACUCACAGAGCCUGAAAGAUUUCAAAGUCGGGUUUUUUACAUUGUCUAGAAAUACGCAGACAGGCUUGAAAGAGGAAGAUGUUCCAUCUACAUCUUUAAACUUAUGUCGCGUGACUGAACCACAAUGCCUGAAUCAUGGGGUGAAUUAAUAUGUUACAUAAAUCCUGCAAUUAAUCUUUGAAUAGCAUAAUUAUAUUGCUUGUAUUUUUGAGCAUUAAAAGUGUAACUUUGUUAAAUAUAAGCAUGCAAAUUUUUAAGGUGUUUUGACAUGUUUUUUUAAUUUGCUGUGAACCUCAAGGACUAGAAAUGGCCUGGACAGCUGACUCGUCUGGGGUGGAGUCUGAGCGUACCCUGAAGCAUCCUUGUACAUUUGAAGCUGUUUCCUGGAUGAUUCUCUCUCACCAUGGCAUGGUGGGGAGUCUUCGGGCACGUAUCUGGGUUGUCCUGUUGACGUGGUGAAGACUUUUCAGUGGCUUGCAAGCUGUGAGACGUUACCCUAAUGGCCUUUUCCUGGAUUGCCUCAUUCAGACGGAAGCUUCCACAGCAGUUUGACAUGCUCCUACUAAGGUAGUGUUUACCUGACUUCACAGUAUCUUACUUUUUUUUUUAAACUCUCAUAGUUAUACAACUAAUUACAAAUAAUCACAUGUUCUUUUAGACAUUUCCUAUGAAUAAAACACUUCUUUUGUUUAAAAAAUUUUGAUUAUAAUAUGCAGACUACAUUUUUUUUGAGUGUUUU
ensembl:lncRNA